UACGUAGGGUGCAAGCGUUGUCCGGAAUUACUGGGCGUAAAGGGCGCGUAGGCGGUGUGUCAAGUCAGGCGUGAAAGCCCCGGGCUCAACCUGGGAACCGCGCUUGAGACUGGCACGCUAGAGUUCGGGAGAGGAUGGGUGGAAUUCCCAGUGUAGAGGUGAAAUUCGUAGAUAUUGGGAAGAACACCGGAUGGCGAAGGCAGCCCAUCUGGGACCGACACUGACGCAUGACGGC
rnacentral:rRNA from 1 species